GAAUGGUCUGACGAGAAAAUAACUUUCUAAAAAGAAAAGAUAAAAAUUUAUUUUAAAGUAAAAAAGCUUUAUAACUUUAGAAAGACGAGAAGACCCUAGAACCUAUUCUAUCUAUAUAGUUUGUUGGGGUGACAUUAUUCAAAACAAAUAACUAUUAAAACUUAUUAACUGACUCUGUCUAUCUUUAUUAAAAAAAAAAAAGGUACUCUAGGGAUAACAGC
rnacentral:rRNA from 1 species